rnacentral:rRNA from 1 species
GUGGGGAAUAUUGGACAAUGGGCGAAAGCCUGAUCCAGCAAUGCCGCGUGAGUGAUGAAGGCCUUAGGGUUGUAAAGCUCUUUUACCAGGGAUGAUAAUGACAGUACCUGGAGAAUAAGCUCCGGCUAACUCCGUGCCAGCAGCCGCGGUAAUACGGAGGGAGCUAGCGUUGUUCGGAAUUACUGGGCGUAAAGCGCACGUAGGCGGUUACUGAAGUCAGAGGUGAAAGCCCGGGGCUCAACCCCGGAACUGCCUUUGAAACUAGGUAACUAGAAUCUUGGAGAGGUCAGUGGAAUUCCGAGUGUAGAGGUGAAAUUCGUAGAUAUUCGGAAGAACACCAGUGGCGAAGGCGACUGACUGGACAAGUAUUGACGCUGAGGUGCGAAAGCGUGGGGAGCAAACAGGAUUAGAUACCCGGGUAGUCC